rfam:Pachysolen tannophilus NRRL Y-2460 unplaced genomic scaffold PACTA_scaffold_10, whole genome shotgun sequence.
GUUAAUAUAGUUUAAUCGGUAAAACAAUUGCCUCAUAUGCAAUAUAUAUAAGUUCAAAUCUUGUUAUUGACA